GGCACUUGCAACUUUAUUGCGCCAGCAAGAACAUGCAUACAGCCCAGUCUAACGUACAGGAUCAAAAAGAGACCUUAUUUCGGCUGGCAAUUACCUUACCCGCUUGUUCAUUAUCUGACUCCUGCACUCCUCCCAAGUGUUCAAUGUUAACCAGAUGGCAAAGUUAACCAGACAGAGGAAAUCCACAUAAUUACUCUAGAUGAAGCCCCCUAACUGCGGAUUAGAAGGAAAAGAGAUGAAGGGUGCUGCACUAAUAAUAACAACCAUUUUCAACCAAGGCAGGAUUCUGGGCCUAGAAUCUUCAGUGACAAAUUACCAGGAGAGGAGGAGGGAAAUGAAGAGCUGGAGGCCUAGGGAGAUGGUGUGAGGAGAGGAGACUGUGCCUUUCCACUUCUUAAUAAUUAAUGUUCUCCUGCUGCUCUGAGUCUGCAUCACCAGUGAUUCAGUUUGAGUCAGACAUCCAACAACAACUGAGCAAAAGAAUCAUCUCAGAUCCAAGCAAUGGUGACGCGCAGAUAGAAGAGACUGAGGCCAACGACCAAAGCAAAGGACAGCAGAACUGACUGACACAGCUCAGAAAAUAUCCAAAGCUCUGGUCUUGCUCUGUCACCCACACUGGAGUGCAAUGCCACCAUCUUGGCUCACUGCAGCCUUGACCUCCUUGGGCUCAAGUGAUCCUCCUGCUUCAGCCUACCAUGUAGCUGGGACUACAGGUAUGCUCUGGAAAGGAAGACAAGAAAUGCUAAAGACUCUGGAUAUUGCUCUGUUUCUAUAAGGUCCCACCCAUAUACCAUCUCUUCUUUUGGAUUUCCUUUGGCAGGGUUCCCUUGUAUGGAAGUUCUCAGGAGAACAACACUCUCAGAGUCCCACUGUCUCAAAGAAUUCUUAAUGGACAGCUAUACUUGGCCCCAAGGUUUCAACCUCACACUGAAGAAAGUGACAUAAGAAAACACAAGUCCCAGUGCUAUCAGGGGCUAUCUGGAAAAGCUGCUUAAACAGCAAGUGAAAGAAGGCUCUCCCCUACCCCGUUCUAGAUGACAGGUCCUAUGUAAGAUACACAUACCACAUGCUGUCAACCCAUCUGAGACACUCAGCUUUCAAAUGACAGUUCUUCUCUGAAGCUAACCUAGCCAAAAGAGUGAAAUACACUAUCUGUUAAGCUGUGUCAGUAGCUAAGUCUGUGUGUCUAAAUUAAAAACAUACUCACCCUGAAGUUAUUUGAAGGAUCCUUGAGACUCUUUUGGAUUGCUGCUUGGAGAACAUUCCUGUAACUUGUCCCUGCUCCUUGAACUAUAAAAGCAGAAGGGAGGUACUGAGUUAAAACUUACAAAUUAUUAUCAAAUAAAUCUUCAAUAGUGGUUCAGUCCAA
rnacentral:lncRNA from 1 species